AUGCAGUCGUACGGGAGUUUUUAACUCCAGUGGCGGACGGGUGAGUAACACGUGAGAAUUUGCCUUUAGGAGGGGGAUAACAACUGGAAACGGUUGCUAAUACCCCAUAUGCUUUCGAGUGAAAUAGAUUUAUCUGCCUAGAGAGAAGCUCGCGCCUGAUUAGCUUGUUGGUAAGGUAAUGGCUUACCAAGGCGACGAUCAGUAUCUGGUUUGAGAGGACGAUCAGACACACUGGAACUGAGACACGGUCCAGACUCCUACGGGAGGCAGCAGUGGGGAAUUUUCCGCAAUGGGCGAAAGCCUGACGGAGCAAUACCGCGUGAGGGAUGACUGCCUAUGGGUUGUAAACCUCUUUUUUCAGGGAGGAAUAAAUGACGUGUACCUGAAGAAUAAGCAUCGGCUAACUCCGUGCCAGCAGCCGCGGUAAUACG
rnacentral:rRNA from 1 species